GGCUCAGAACGAACGCUGGCGGCGUGCUUAAUACAUGCAAGUCGAACGUUAAGUGUAGCAAUACACUGAAAGUGGCGAACGGGUGAGUAACACGUAAGUAAUCUGCCUUUAAGACUGGGAUAACCUUGCCAACGCGGGGCUAAUACCGGAUGUGGUCAGUUGGACGCAUGUCUGAUUGAUUAAAGGAGUGAUCCGCUUAAAGAUGAACUUGCGGCCCAUUAGCUUGUUGGCGGGGUAACGGCCCACCAAGGCUGCGAUGGGUAGCCGGCCUGAGAGGGUGUACGGCCACAUUGGGACUGAGAUACGGCCCAGACUCCUACGGGAGGCAGCAGUAGGGAAUUUUGCGCAAUGGACGAAAGUCUGACGCAGCAACGCCGCGUGAGGGAUGAAGGCCUUCGGGUUGUAAACCUCUGUUGGGUGGGAAAAAAAGGUAGCAAUACUUUGAUGGUACUACCUGAGGAAGCACCGGCUAACUACGUGCCAGCAGCCGCGGUAAUACGUAGGGUGCAAGCGUUGUUCGGAAUCACUGGGCGUAAAGAGAGCGUAGGCGGGAUUGUAAGUUAGAAGUUUAAUACAUGGGCUUAACCCGUGGCUGGCUUUUAAUACUGCAGUUCUUGAGUAUGGGAGAGGGCGAUGGAAUUCCAGGUGUAGCGGUGGAAUGCGUAGAUAUCUGGAAGAACACCAGUAGCGAAGGCGGUCGCCUGGCCUAAUACUGACGCUGAGGCUCGAAAGCUAGGGGAGCAAACAGGAUUAGAUACCCUGGUAGUCCUAGCCGUAAACGAUGAACACUAGUUGCCGGAGGAGUCAAUCUUUUUGGUGACGAAGCUAACGCAUUAAGUGUUCCGCCUGGGAAGUACGCUCGCAAGAGUGAAACUCAAAG
rnacentral:rRNA from 1 species